AUGUACCACUCGUACACUCCGGUUCCUGCGCGCCGCCCGUACUCACCUGACGACCGCUCGCUACGUUUUGUCAGCC
rnacentral:sRNA from 1 species